rnacentral:rRNA from 1 species
GACGAACGCUGGCGGCGUGCUUAACACAUGCAAGUCGAACGGAAAGGCCCUGCUUUUGUGGGGUGCUCGAGUGGCGAACGGGUGAGUAACACGUGAGUAACCUGCCCUUGACUUUGGGAUAACUUCAGGAAACUGGGGCUAAUACCGGAUAGGAGCUCCUGCUGCAUGGUGGGGGUUGGAAAGUUUCGGCGGUUGGGGAUGGACUCGCGGCUUAUCAGCUUGUUGGUGGGGUAGUGGCUUACCAAGGCUUUGACGGGUAGCCGGCCUGAGAGGGUGACCGGCCACAGUGGGACUGAGAUACGGCCCAGACUCCUACGGGAGGCAGCAGUGGGGAAUAUUGCACAAUGGGCGGAAGCCUGAUGCAGCAACGCCGCGUGCGGGAGGACGGCCUUCGGGUUGUAAACCGCUUUCGCCUGUGACGAAGCGUGAGUGACGGUAAUGGUAAAGAAGCACCGGCUAACUACGUG